rnacentral:tRNA from 1 species
AGAGGAAUAGCUAAGAUGUUUAAGUAUUUUACUUACAAUAAAAUGAUGUCUGUUAAACUCAGGCUUUCUCUA